AACGAACGCUGGCGGCGUGGAUAAGACAUGCAAGUCGGACGAGAUUUCGUCCUGUAGCAAUAUGGGAUGAAGUCUAGUGGCGAACGGGUGCGUAACACGUGGGCAAUCUGCCUUAAAGUGGGGGAUAGCUCGGCGAAAGCCGGAUUAAUACCGCAUGUGAUCAGGGAAGACAUCUUCCUGAAAUCAAAGGUGCCGCAAGGUACCGCUUUUUGAGGAGCCCGCGGCCUAUCAGCUUGUUGGUGAGGUAACGGCUCACCAAGGCGUUGACGGGUAGCUGGUCUGAGAGGACGACCAGUCACACUGGGACUGAGACACGGCCCAGACACCUACGGGUGGCAGCAGUCGAGAAUUUUUCUCAAUGGGGGAAACCCUGAAGGGGCGACGCCGCGUGGAGGAUGAAGGUCUUCGGGUUGUAAACUCCUGUCAUUUGGGAACAAGUCGUACGUAUUAACUGUACGUGCGUUGAUAGUACCAGAAGAGGAAGAGACGGCUAACUCUGUGCCAGCAGCCGCGGUAAUACAGAGGUCUCAAGCGUUGUUCGGAUUCAUUGGGCGUAAAGGGUGCGUAGGCGGCGCGGUAAGUCGGGUGUGAAAUCUC
rnacentral:rRNA from 1 species